GGACCCGUAGCUCAGCGGUAGAGCAUCUGAUUCCAGCGCCGUUUGGAAACAGCAUCCAGAAGGUCAUCCGUUCAAAUCGGGUCGGGUUCA